GAUGAACGCUGGCGGCGUGCCUAAUACAUGCAAGUAGAACGCUGAAGGAGGAGCUUGCUCUUCUGGAUGAGUUGCGAACGGGUGAGUAACGCGUAGGUAACCUGCCUGGUAGCGGGGGAUAACUAUUGGAAACGAUAGCUAAUACCGCAUGACAACAGUUAUUGCAUGAUAACUGUUUAAAAGGGGCAACUGCUCCACUACCAGAUGGACCUGCGUUGUAUUAGCUAGUUGGUGAGGUAACGGCUCACCAAGGCGACGAUACAUAGCCGACCGGAGAGGGGGAUCGGCCACACUGGGACUGAGACACGGCCCAGACUGCUACGGGAGGCAGCAGGAGGGAAUCGUCGGCAAGGGACGGAAGUCUGACCGAGCAACGCCGCGUGAGUGAAGAAGGUUGUCGGAUCGUAAAGCUCGGUUGUAAGAGAAGAACGAGUGUGAGAGUGGAAAGUUCACACUGUGACGGUAUCUUACCAGAAAGGGACGGCUAACUACGUG
rnacentral:rRNA from 1 species